GGAUGUGAGGGCGAUCUGGCUGCGACAUCUGUCACCCCAUUGAUCGCCAGGGUUGCUUCGGCUGAUCUGGCUGGCUAGGCGGGUGUCCCCUUCCUCCCUCACCACUCCAUGUGCGUCCCUCCCGAAGCUGCGUGCUGGGUCGAAGAGGACGACCUUCCCCGCUAGAGGAGGACCGGUCUUCGGUCAAGGGUAUACGAGUAGCUGCGCUCCCCUGCUAGAACCUCAAAACAAGCUCUCAAGGUUUUGGUUUAUAUUUAGACUUUUAAUUAACCUUGAGUUGCUUUUACAUAGUGUAUGAGGUGUUGGGGUAUCUUUUCAGGCUUCUACAU
rnacentral:snRNA from 1 species